UUUAUUUCUGAUCUUUCGGCCAAAGCACACGCGUUUUAAAUCAAAUCGAAUUUUGCAAAGAAGUGCUAAGUCCACGUGUGUAUAUAUAUAUGCACCACCUCGGGCUUAAUAACCGCCCAACAAGACAAACACACUAAUAAGUGAAGCACCACAAAGCUAAUUUCAAACGCCCAAAGUGGCUGGCGUAAUUUAGCUGGCACCGAUCGCAACAUCCAACUUAUAGUUGAAAAACUAAUUAGGAGCGCUCAGCGCUAUUUGAUCAAAUCGCCUGGUGCCCGUUUUGGCCCACUCUGGCUGCCAACACGUGGAGCGGGACUACUCGAGCCGAGCCACAUACAGUUUACCAGUGCAAAUUUAAGUUUCGAGCCAAGCUUCCCAACCGUUUUCCUAAAUUGAUACACGUGUUGUUCGCCAUAUUCUCCUGAGCAGUUGCGAGUAACCUAACCCCGGACUGAUGGUUAGCCAUCGACACGUCCAACACGAGCGUAUAGCGGAUAAGCAGACACCCUGGACUCUUGUUCUAGCUGUUGAAUCUGCCGCUUCGCCGCUAAGGAUUCACCCCCGAUCUCGGCAGCCGAUCUGACUGUUGUAGUUUUUAGAAUAGAUUUAAAUUUUAUAGAAAUUAAGCUUAUUACACGGGUACAGUAUGUAUAUUUGGCCUUAGAUUGACUGUUAACUAAUAAUAUUUUGUAGUUCACUCAGCAUACACACAUCUUCGUUUACACACACCGUCCACAGGCCUGUCGACUGCACUGGAAACAGAUUUAAAGUAUUUAUGUUGUAAGUACGGCAGAGCCGACCGUCUGUUAGCAUCAAUCUGAGCCAAGUAAUAUAACUAUAGAAUAACUAUAGAUUCAAGUUUCGACACCCGUGCUAUUUUGUUGAAGACUGCCUUUUUUCUUUUUAAAACUUAAUUGUUAAUGUAAAUUUUUUAUUGAAGAACCUAAAUGAAGUCAUUUGUACCUAUUAUAUGGUUAAUCUGCCAUGGGCAAGCUAACGUUAAGCAAAUCGUAAGCAUCUGCCAUGGGCAAGCUAACGUUAAGCAAAUCAUAAGCAUCUGCCAUGGGCAAGCUAACGUUAAGGAAAUCAUAAGCCGCCGCCAUGGGCAACUUAUCUUUAAUUGAAUUUUGGUACGUAUUUGAGAAUGAAGUAUAAAAUGAAGAAACUUUGUUUGCGAAUUUGGACACCUGAAGUAACUGUGCAUCAUUAAUAAGGGCAUUGGCCACAUACGCAAAGCGAGCCUUUGCAAGGUUGGGUGGGUUUUGAAGAGGAAUUAAAUGACAUCUGCAAUUUCUCACACUUAGUAUAAAAUUAGAUUCGUUGAGCUUUGGUUUAGUUUGUCAAUAGUUCCCUACUCUGUCUACUAUUUAAGUUUAUGUGACGGUGCGGUUCUCUAGGUAGCAAAACCCCACUCCCAUUUUCCCUGAGCACAGCCGACCCUGUAGGCAGAGUACGCUGCCAGAUAGCCGCACACAUUGUCGUGUUCGUUACAUAUUCUUUGGCGCCCAACCUGGGGCAAUCGGAAAUCAGGAAAAUACCGUAUCUUGAGAAGAUAACAGAGUUAAUAUUUCGUGUCGCUACCCAAUGCAAUAUUCUAAAGAAAAAUCCAAUUUUUUUUGAGCCUUAAUGUGAUACUUUGGAAUUCAGACAUCGCGCAUUCUUAGGUGCUGAACCUAGAUUAUGUUAUCGCUUAAUCCUUAUUCCCAUAUCAACAAUAAAUGAAUUGCUUCGGAAUGUGAGAUUUGGGUAAAAGCUCGAAUUCGCACCAGGCAACAUUAUUCUUUUAUUAAUCACAUUUAAUACACAUAUGAAAAGUCAUUUCAGAUUUACUUUGUUGGAAAUUUCUAACAAGUACUCAUGAUUAUAUUUUUAGAGAUCAAACAUUAAGUCAUUACUGCUUUGAGAUUUGUUUAGCUGAAGAGUUUUUGGAAAGACACUCAGCAGUAAUGCAAUUGCUUCCUAAUAUUAAAAGGCUUUUGCACAACAGGAACCCUAAUUUUAUAUUAAUAUUUAUUUGAUGCACGGUAACUAAAGGAUAGCCCCAAUUUUAAAUCAGAGUUUUAUAUUUAUAAUAUUUGAAAUAAUAUUAUAAUACUACAACAUGUCAGUUCAGAGGAACGUUCUCUUUGUAUUAUUUGCAAUGAUACUAUGGUAAUAGAUACUGAACUUGCAGAAACCCCCUGUAGACAUAAAUUUCACAGAACAUGCGUGGUACUGUGGUUAGGAAGUAAUGAAACUUGUCCGCUUUGCCGAAGUGCUUGUAACCUGGUACAACUGAUAACCUUUCCUGCUGCUCAACCGAAUAGGUCUACUAAUGAUACUAAUAGGGAAGUUCGAGGUGCUUCUGCCAAUCAAGCUACUGGAGCCGUUAACCGAACUGGACCAAACACAAGAGCGAAUUCCAAUCAGAACUUAACGAAUCAGAGAGCACACUGUAGCUUGAGAACCCAAAACACAACACAUAGAUCAACUGAACGUUCUAGCAUUUCCGAAACUCGAGUACAGCAGUUAAUCACAGACUCCUUAGAAACCUUUCGCGUUAGCAUGGUUGCAGCAGUAGCGGAUGAGAUCAGUAAUACGAUGCGAAACCUUCAGUUGGCUAAUAAUUCCCAAAAUCGAAUGAUUUCUUAAUAGCAUGGCAGGUAGGUCGGCAGCCCGUCUUCCUCCAAACCGGCGAUUUGUAAAUGAGCUAGUGCAGGUUGAAGAGUCUAGGGAAGAAGAGAAUUAUCAAACUAUGAACGACGUAGAAAUAAAUGUGAUGCGCAAUGCUGAGCGUUAUAAAUGUUGGAAUUGUGAGGAAACCGGACACAGAUAUCAUGAUUGCCUCAAAGCCAGACGCAUAUUUUCCUAUGGGUGUGGUCGUCCUGACACUUAUAAGUCUAGUUGCUUGAAAUGUAAUCCCCCGUCGGAAAACUCGUAAGAGGAUGUCCAUCAAUUCUGACUGGUGGAUAUCCUAUUUCAAACUCAGCAUCAAGAGCAGGUUCUAAUAAUCUUUCAUCUUUUAAUUUAAGUAACUGUCAACCCGACUCGACAACAUCUAACCCAGAAUUAGACAAACCCAACUGUAUGUUAAUUAAAAACACUACAGAGCCCUCACGAAACUUUAAAAUUAUCCCCUACACUACGAAUUAAUUCCGCCAACAAAUCUCGAUCGGCUAAUCGAAUGUGUUCAUUUUGGAAACAGCAGCGAAAAAUGAAGAAGUAUGUCGUAUCCUCUAUUGUUAGGCAGGACAAUGACAACCGUUAAUACAUUGCUUUGGAAUUAUUUAACAAAACCUUCUUGGCCUUGCUUGAUAGUGGAGCUAACAAAUGCGUAGUAGGUGGUAAAUUGGCUAAGCUUAUUCCUACAGAUCAUCCAGGGUUAAGGAAGUUAAAAUGUUAUGUUCGUACAGCCGACGGACAAAAUCAAAACGUCACCGCUACCAUUAUCGUUCCAAUUCACUAUAACUCCUUAUAUCAGGAUGUAGAAUUUUUAAUAGUUUCCAGUAUUAAACAAGAUAUAAUCUGCGGAAUGGAUUUUUGGAAACUAUUUGGUCUUCGAAUAUCCAGUCCAACGACUAUAUCCGAAAUUUCUGACUCCAAUGAUUUAAGUGACAGAGUCUUGCUUAAUGCAACCGAUCGAAACCGAUUUCAAGCUGUUAUCGAAUUCUUUCCAUCGUCUGAAAAAAGUGGUUUAGGAAAAACAACCCUAAUUGAACAUCAUAUUGACACCGGUGCAGCAAAAGCAAUUAAGCAAAGAUAUUACAACCUAUCUCCAGCCAAAGAGCUUAAGUUAUGCCAGGAAGUAGACCGCAUGAUUAGUCUGGGAGUACUAGAAGAAGCGCCCGCGUCCUCAUGGUCUUCUCCGGCAGUCUUGGUCGUAAAACCAGGCAAAGUGAGAAUUUGCUUAGAUUCUAGGAAGCUUAAUUCUGUUACAGUAAAGGAUGCUUAUCCUACUCCUCUUAUUGAAGGUCUACUAAGUCGCUUACCUCCAGUACACUGCAUAUCGAAAAUUGAUUUAAAAGACCCGUUUUGGCAGAUAUGUCUAGACGAAGAAUCGAAACCAAAAACCGCAAUAACCAUACCCAACCGUCUUUUAUAUCAAUUUACACGAAUGCCUUUCGGACUAACUAAUGCUCCGCAAACACUUUGUAAACUUAUGGAUAAAGUAAUACCUUAUAGAAUGAAAUCACACGUGAUGGUAUAUUUAGAUGACCUAUUAGUCAUAUCUUCAAGUUUCGAAGAGCAUCUUUCUCAUCUGGCCGAAGUCGCUACGCAACUUCGAAAGGCAGGUCUUACUAUUAAGAUCGCCAAAAGUCAGUUUUGCUUAAAGAAAAUCGAAUACUUAGGGUACAUUGUUGGAGAGGGAACUUUGCAAGUGAAUCCCAAUAAAAUAGCCGCCGUGUCCAACUUUCCUGUUCCAAAAACCAAACGUCAACUUAAGAGAUUUCUCGGGAUGACCGGUUGGUAUCAACGGUUUAUUGACCAAUAUUCGGAACAAACCUUCCACCUAACCGAGUUGUUGCGAGGAAAAGAAUUUCACGGGAAUGAUAACGCCCAAGUUUCUUUUGAACAAUUGAAAAAGCCUCUGACCACUGCUCCAUUAUUAGUACAUCCCAAUUACGAAAAACCGUUUAUAGUGCAGUGUGAUGCCUCAAUCAAUGGUGUGGGAGCGCUUCUAGCUCAAUGUGAUGAAAACGGAAUAGAACGCCCUAUUGCAUAUAUGUCUAAGAAGCUAAAUAGAUCUCAAAGGAAUUUACUCUACCACGGAACUUGAAUGCUUAGCAUUAGUUCUAUCUAUUAAAAGAUUUCGAAUGUAUAUUGAGGGUCAUGAAUUUACUGUUGUGAGUGAUCAUGCAAGUCUCCGAUGGCUCAUGACGCAGCAAGACCUUCAAUGAAGACUUGUUCGGUGGGCACUCAAACUUCAAGGAUUUAAUUUUAGCAUAGAACAUCGUCGAGGUAGUGAAAAUGUAGUAGCCGAUGCCAUUUCAAGAUAUUUUGAAUCGGAUGAAGGCCUUGCCACCAUUGAUAUCGAUGUUCUCCCAGAAAUUGAUUUGGAAUCCGAAUUCUUUCAAUCCUCCAGCUAUUCGCAACUUAAAGAAAAGUUAACGCAGUCUCAACUACCGGAUUUUCAAGUAAUAGAUGGUUUUCUUUAUCACAGGGUUGGUUUCUCUAACAGUUCCUCCGAGCAUUUUGCGGUAUAGCCAAAUGUUUGGAAAAUAUUCGAAGAAAGUUUUACUGGCCGCGUAUGGUUGUAGACAUUUGCAAUUAUAUCAAAAACUGUUAGAUUUGUAGGACAUCAAAAUACCCCACGCAGAAACUUAAACCACCCAUAGGACAACAAAUUGUUAGCGAACGAGUAUUUCAAAGACUCUAUAUAGACUUUAUUGGUCUCUUCUCAAGGACGAAAAGAGGUAAUAUAGGAAUCUUUAUAGUACUCGAUCAUCUAUCGAAAUUCACGUUUCCUAAACCGGUAAAAGAGUUUACAACUCAAGUCGUCGUGUCAUACCUGAAAGAGGAAAUUUUUGAUUGUUACGGAACGCCUGAGGUUAUAGUAAGCGAUAAUGGUUCGCAAUUCAAAAGUCAUGAAUUAUCUUCUUUUCUUCUAAGCAUGGCAUUACCCACACAUGCACGCAGCCUAUUCGCCGCAGUCCAAUGCAGCAGAAAGAGUUAAUAGGUCUAUUAAUGCUGCAUUGAGAGCCUAUACCCGAUCCGAUCAGAGAGAAUGGGAUAGAUAUCUUAGUAGUAUAAACUGUUCUCAGCGUCGUCAUAUACAGCAGUCAAUAUCUGAAUCUCCAUUCUUUGUUGUUUUCGGGCAGAACACGGAAAAGAUUAUAAAUUACUCAAAAAUAUAAAUUUGCUUAAUGAAAGUUCCUUACGACUAAACCGACAAGACCAAUUCUCUACGUUACGAUUUGACCUCCAAAAGCAUUUAGACAAAGCUUAUGAAAAGAAUGAGCAAUCCUAUAACCUCCGAUCUAGGCCUCGAUCUUUUCAGGUAGGAGACGAGGUAAUUAAACGAAACUUCGCCCUUAGCAAUGCCGCCGCCCACUUCAAUGCUAAGUUUGCACCGGUAGGAAUAAAGGUCCGUGUCAAGCAAUGACUGGGAAACUGUCUCUAUUUACUUGAGGAUUUAAACGGAAGGGAAUUAGGAACAUACCAUGCAAAGGAUAUUUGGUAACAGUAUAAACCCUUUUUCAGGUUUUCUCUUUGUCGUAAAGACUAAAGAUUAAUCCUGUGCUGUAGGGGUGUGAAAUUAUUAAGAAAAGAUUCGUUUAUUUUUUUUAAAUAUAAAAUAGCGCUACUGGUUCCGCAACUUGGUGGCAACCAAACAUCCUAGAAAAUACUAAACUAUAAUUUCGUAUUUUCUAACACUGCUUGUCAGAGGGCUUGCACCCGCCAUUUGCGUUUUCUCGUGCCAAAGCACACGCGUUUUAAAUCAAAUCGAAUUUUGCAAAGAAGUGCUAAGUCCACGUGUGUAUAUAUAUAUGCACCACCUCGGGCUUAAUAACCGCCCAACAAGACAAACAUACUAAUAAGUGAAGCACCACAAAGCUAAUUUCAAACUCCCAAAGUGGCUGGCGUAAUUUAGCUGGCACCGAUCGCAACAUCCAACUUAUAGGUUAAAAACUAAUUAGGAGUGCGCAGCGCUUUUUGAUCAAAUCGCCUGGUGCUCGUUUUGGCCCACUCUGGCUGCCAACACGUGGAGCGGGACUACUCGAGCCGAGCCACAUACAGUUUACCAGUGCAAAUUUAAGUUUCGAGCCAAGCUUCCCAACCGUUGUAAGACGUAAAAAAAACUUUAGUUCCUAGAUUGAUACACGUGUUGUUCGCCAUAUUCUCCUGACCAGUUGCGAGUAACCUAACCCCGGACUGAUGGUUAGCCAUCGACACGUCCAACACGAGCGUAUAGCGGAUAAGCAGACACCCUGGACUCUUGUUCUAGCUGUUGAAUCUGCCGCCUCGCCGCUAAGGAUUCACCCCCAAUCUCGGCAGCCGAUCUGACUGUAGUAGUUUUUAGAAUAGAUUUAAAUUUUAUAGAAAUGAAGCUUAUUACACGGUUCACUCAGCAUACACACAUCUUCGUUUACACACACCGUCCACAGGCCUGUCCACUGCACUGGAAACAGAUUUAAAGUAUUUAUGUUGUAAGUACGACAGAGCCGACCGUUUGUUAGGAUCAAUCUAAGCCAAGUAAUAUAACUAUAGAAUAACUAUAGAUUCAAGUUUCGACACCCGUGCUAUUUUGUUGAAGACUGCCUUUUUUCUUUUUAAAACUUAAUUGUUAAUGUACAUUUUUGAAUAAAGAACCUAAAUGAAGUCAUUUGUACCCAUUAUAUGGUUAAUCUGCCAUGGGCAAGCUAACGUUAAGCAAAUCAUAAGCAUCUGCCAUGGGCAAGCUAACGUUAAGCAAAUCAUUAGCAUCUGCCAUGGGCAAGCUAACGUUAAGGAAAUCAUAAGCCGCCGCCAUGGGCAACUUAUCUUUAAUUGAAUUUUGGUAUGUAUUUGAGAAUGAAGUAUAAAAUGAAGUAACUUUGUUUGCGAAUUGGGACACCUGAA